AGCAAUAAAACAUAUUAAAAGUUAUUUAAUAAAUUAAAGAAAUAUGUUUUUAACAAAACUUGACUUCAUAUUGAUUAUUGCCAUUGCCAUGUACUUUAUAAAAUCUACGGAAGCAGGCCAAGUUGCCAGCAAAACUGGGCCAGUCUUGAAGGAAGUAGUUAAUAAUAUACCCAAGCUACCAGUAGUUGGGGCUGCAUAUUAUGCUGCCAAUAAAACACAUGAUAUCAAUAUUAAUACAAAUCCUCUAUCAGUUAGUUAUUCGUCAAGACCUAAUUCGCCGCCACCUAAAACAACUGCUAGUUCUAAGAAGCACUAGAGUAUAAGGAUAUAAUUGUAUCAUAAAAAUAAAUUUGUUCAUAAAAGUUGACAA